AAAGUCGGGGUUCGGGUGCGGUCUGUCCGCCCAGGAGGCGGGAAGCAGCGGCCCGGCAACAGCUCUCCACCAUUCUUCUACCUUUGCGCAUGGAAAUCUCCAAGAAGGGAUCCAAGAAGCGGCGGGUUGAACUGGGGGCCAUCGGCCUGAAAGAAGCCGGGAAUCCGAGCCCCAGACUUCUAAGGAGGCCCUAGGUCCCUGCGCCCCACUGGCCUGGCAGGGAGCCUCCGGUAUUCCUGCUGUUUGAGGCCCGGUGGCCAGGAGCGCAGCUUCUCUCUAGCCAUUGCGAAGGCUUCCAUUUAGUCCAUUUCAUGGUCGUCUCGCCAAGAGCUCGUCAUCUACAGCUGGGAUGUGUAGAAUGUGCCUAAUAGCCAUGGCUAGUGCGUGCUCCCCAAUGGAGAAGGUCUGACAAGGACAGCUGGCUGGUUUUCAGCGUGAAAACACCCCCUCGGUGGACCAAACACAACGACACUGACCUUUCUGUGGGGGAACCAGAGAUGUGCCUUUCACUGAAUUAGCCACAAAGACGUCUUGCUAUGACUUUUGUUCAGCACGAAAGCAAAGAAAUAUUGCGUCUAAUAUGAAAAGUACUGUUCACAGCUUUUCUGUGCCCCUUAAGAAGUAUUACAGUGCUGAUUUACUGGCCCCGUUCUCCAGGGCUGGCUGGCCACAAGGCGGGGUGGAGGGGUGGG